UACGAAGGGGGCUAGCGUUGCUCGGAAUCACUGGGUGUAAAGCGCACGUAGGCGGCUUUCUAAGUCAGGGGUGAAAUCCUGGAGCUCAACUCCAGAACUGCCUUUGAUACUGGGAAGCUCGAGUCCGGAAGAGGUGAGUGGAACUGCGAGUGUAGAGGUGAAAUUCGUAGAUAUUCGCAAGAACACCAGUGGCGAAGGCGGCUCACUGGUCCGGUACUGACGCUGAGGUGCGAAAGCGUGGGGAGCAAACAGG
rnacentral:rRNA from 1 species